AGCGAACGCUGGCGGCAGGCCUAACACAUGCAAGUCGAACGAACCCUUCGGGGUUAGUGGCGGACGGGUGAGUAACACGUGGGAACGUGCCUUUAGGUUCGGAAUAACUCAGGGAAACUUGUGCUAAUACCGAAUGCGCCCUUCGGGGGAAAGAUUUAUCGCCUUUAGAGCGGCCCGCGUCUGAUUAGCUAGUUGGUGAGGUAAUGGCUCACCAAGGCUACGAUCAGUAGCUGGUCUGAGAGGAUGACCGGCCACAUUGGGACUGAGACACGGCCCAAACUCCUACGGGAGGCAGCAGUGGGGAAUCUUGCGCAAUGGGCGAAAGCCUGACGCAGCCAUGCCGCGUGGAUGAUGAAGGUCUUAGGAUUGUAAAAUCCUUUCACCGGUGAAGAUAAUGACUGUAGCCGGAGAAGAAGCCCCGGCUAACUUCGUGCCAGCCGCCGCGGUAAUAC
rnacentral:rRNA from 1 species